UCUGAGAUAUAUGAAAUAAAAAUAAACAGCCACGUUUCAAUACAUCACAAAAAUGACACGCAUAACAAAGUAAAGAUCGAUUUGGACGUUAUGGCUGUGCAAACAAAUCGAUUACUUCUCAGCUAUUUGUUUUUAUCUUCAAAUUAAAAAAAAAGACAACCUUUGUUCUGUAACCAGUUCCCCCACCCGCCUCUUCUGCAGACAUAAAAGUCGACAGAAAAAAACAAUCUAAUAGCUACCCACUACUUAAGUUUGGCCACGUCAAUCACUUGGUGACCAGUCCAACAAGGCAACAACAAUUAAAAACAGCGCAUUUACAGUUACCGUGCUCCUCGACUUCCAACGUCAAGCACCGUGCACGUUCUCCCUGUUUGAAAGCCAACACCUGGAGAAAAAUGUGAAGUGUAAACAAAAAACAACCCCACAAGCUAGCAAACUAAAAUAUGCAAGACAAUGUUGUGCUAAAUGUUGCGGACAUUUUCCAUGAUCGCAUCGCAUCACUUCUACGUAACCGGGAUGGACCUGUAAAUUUCAUGAAGUCUAGCUACAACCUGCAAUUCUUUUAGCUACAUUACCAUGGUGAAACCUUCUGGUACUUCUAUUUUGACAAGAAAUUACCCUUAGUAUCUUCAUUAUAUAUUAGAAGAGGAUACGAUUAAAUAUGCAAACCGUUAGCCAAAGGAUUUACGGCUGUAAUUUCACGAAUGAAUAUUACCUCAUUGAAGAGCAUGGAUGGAUUUUCCCAAAAGUCGUUUAUCGAUUGCUGGUUCAAGUUUGCGUUCCCUCUGGAAAGUAAUUUCGAACAGACGAAACCGAUCAAUAUCCAGUAAACGAAAAUGAAGGACAUCUUGAGUAUUAAGAAUCGGCUACGUCCGAUAAAGGUUUGGGUUAAAAAGUUGGUCGUUUCCACCAUUCAACUAGAUGGCGGAAACCACAUUUGCCUCAGAUGAAGGAAAAAAAGUAUGCCCUGAUAAUAUGCGCGAUAAGCGCAAUGAUACUAAAAGAAACGUAGAAUUGAGCGAUAUAUGUAGGGUUUAGAAAGAGGUAUGUAUUUGCGGACAAAUUUUCAUCGUCAGAUAAAUCAUUAAGCCAUAUUAAAGUCGUCUCUCUGAAAUAAAAAGAUGAAUUUUGGUUAACAUCGUAAUACGGAAUGAGAUCAUAAAGCUUAUGCUUAUGGCUACCAUAUCAUUAUAUUCCAUGAUGUGUUUCUUGAUAGCUGAGGAAUCAACCCACGUCACAAAGUCUUCCAUAUUUCUGUUAGUAGAGAGAUUCAAUGUACUGCUUUUAUCAGCAUAUCAAAGGACACGAAAUGAGUUGAAUUUUACCUGGUUACUAAAAAUGCUGGAUCUUUAAUUACUUCUGGGCCAACCCUAACAUGGCCUUGUUCUACAAAUGUAGUUGCAGUCUUGAUAGAAUCUGCCAUCUUUGCUCUAACCAUUACCACAGGAAGUCUUCUACGGCAGAAGGCUGAUGCUGUUAUGCGUGAAACCAGAUCAAGAGACCAUUUGGUUUGAAUCAGACCCAUGGAAUAUCUGAUAAUUUAAUAUUAAGAUUAAGGUCAAACAACUUUCAGCUUUGACAUGAAAACAAGUUACAGUUUUUCCAAAACAGCUGCGCUGCACUCCACUCGGAAAGGGUCCUUGGGAUCAAGCUCUUUAAUUUUGUUGGCCAACUUUUUUAUGUGUAGCACAAGUGUGCAAUACCUAAACGUGAAAAUAAGUUGUCAAACUGUAUUCUAAUGAUUUGAUGUUUCAAUCUUACUUUGUGUAAUCAUCUCGCUUUUGAAUUCUGUAUCUUUUAAGGACCUGAACCUCAUGAAUGUUGUUGUCAAGCUUCCAGGAGAUGAAGUCAACCUUUUUCAGCAACUUCUCUUCAUGAUAUUUAAGUUUUCGAACCAUUGUGCUUUGUCACUUCAAGACGCAAAUGUUUUACGGAUAAUUUCGACUGAUAUCAACUGCACAGACUAGAAAAACUUUUGUAGUUAGCACAGACUUAGACUAAUGAAGCUUUUACUAUGAACUCGGUAACUUUGUAUAGACAGAAUUAAAAUUGUAGAAGAGUUAUUUAAUGCACAGCAAAUUUUACUAAUAAUUCAGACAACUAAACCAGCAGACGAUAGAAGCCUUGGCACGUGCUUAACUGUUCAUGAAUAGCUUAUCAAGCCCUAGAUGGCAGCAUGUUUCAAUAUGUAAGCAAUUGAAUCAGUCACUCUGGCCUUUGCGUCGUAACUUGUUCCUCAUCACUUUGUAUAAGAUGUUCACUGUCAUGUUAUUAAUUAUCAAUGUGAGAUCAAUAUAACCGAUCCAUUGCCGGCAUUUUGCACUAAUUUGUUUUGCUCGAGGUUACGCCGCGUCUUUGAGAAUUGUUCAACUAGUGGCAGCUUGACUACGUAAAAUGGCGGAAGCCUGCUUAUGCAAUAACAUUUGCUUCAAGGCGAAAGCUUCGUCUCUCAGUGUGGCCACUUGAGCUCUUAAGACUGAAUUCUCCUUCUGUCAAAUUACAAGAUAAAAACAGGGAAAAAGGAACUUACUGCAAGAUUGUUACGACGUCGACGCUCAAAAUAUUUUGCCAUCUUUUAAAUCAUCUGGGAUAGGUUUUUUCUCGCUCCUCGGUCUUCUCAUCGUGGCCGAAGCCAGGGCUUUUGCAACCAGGUGGGAAGGAUCAGGUGAGGGCGAUAAAGAACUAUUGGCAAUAUCUGGUUGGUGAUGUUCAGAUUUGUUUUGCUGUUGCGCUAACAAAUCCCGCUGGAAGGAGAAAGCCGCUGCCAUGGCGUGCAUUAGCUGUGAUGAAUCCGGAUGAUGUUGAUAGUGCGGAGGAGGGGGGAAUCGUCACGGUGAUUACUGCGGCUGGACAGGUCGGCGGGAGAUUCAUCUUCAACAGAUGAUGACGAGCUGGUUACCUCACUUCUUUCGUCAUUCAACGACAUACUUAAGUUAACUGGAACAUUAGCACCGACACCUUGGCUGUUAAAAAUUGCCUGUUGCAGUAACGCGUUCAAGAUCGAAUUCUUGGUCUCCAUCUCCGAUUGACCAGUUCUAACCGAGCCGGUAACACUCGAGUAACUGACGACGGAUGAUUUCGAUACUGGAGUAAGAUCCAAGGAGGACGACCAAUGAAUGUCGACGAGCUGAUGACAUGACCUUCUUCCAAUGAACUGGGCUUAAGUUGUUUUAAGUCAUCGACCUACUCCCCUAGUAGUAGGUCUUCCUUACUAUACCACUAACACUUUUCAUCCAGUUUCCUUUACUACAUUCAAGGUCAUCGUCGUCAAUAUUGGGUGGCACAAGGGAUAGGGUCAUCUAUAUGGGUGAAAUGACCUCACAAGAGAUAAAUGACCUCGAAUGACCCGUUGCGUUAAGAACUUAACCCAUAUUUUCUUUUCAACUAGUCAGCGGAAAAGAAAGCUCCCCAUGUCCCCGACGGCCGAAAUCAACAUACGUUUUGACCUGAAAGUGACCUUUUCUUUCUCCUACUAGUCCCUACCAAGAGACUUCAUUCGAAACUCAUUAGAUUCGGACUUUGCCCGGUGUACAUCUGUAAUUCGACUGUACCAAAAAAAUGUAAUAUCACAAAUAAUGACUCUACUUACGAACGUUGAAAUUAGGCAAUCAUUUGCUCUCAAAGCUGAAUAAUAAACUGUUGCCAUUAUUUUGGCAAAUGCUCUUUAAAA
rnacentral:lncRNA from 1 species